rnacentral:rRNA from 1 species
GAUGAACGCUGGCGGCGUGCCUAAUACAUGCAAGUCGAGCGAAAGGACGAGGAGCUUGCUGGUCGGAUGUUAGCGGCGGAGGGGAGAGUAACGCGUGGAAAACGUACCUAUAAGACGGGGAUAACUUCGGGAAAGCGGAGAUAACACCGGAGAAUAUUUUGAACCGCAUGGGUCAAAAGUGAAAGACGGUCGUGCGGUCACGUAUAGAUGGAUACGCGCUGCAUUAGCUAGUUGGUAAGGUAACGGCUUACCAAGGCAACGAGGCAUAGCCGAGGUGAGAGAGUGAUCGGCCACACUAGAACGUGGACACGGACCAGACGCCUACGGGACGCAGCAGUCGCGAAUGUUCCGCAGUGGUCGAAAGUCUGACGGAGCAACGGCGCGCGAGUGAUGACGGUGUUCGGAUCGUAAUACUCUGUUAUGAGGGAUGAACAUAUGUGUAAGUAGCUGUGCACUGCGUGACGGUACCUAAUCAGAAAGCCACGGCUAACUACGUG